AACAGAUCCACUUCACUGUUUCUUUGGUGAGUAACUUGGCAUAAUAGUUAAUAGAGAGUGUGGCUGAAGAACAGAUAUGGAGAAGGUAACUAUAUCUAGGUGCUUAAACCUUGAAACUGGUAUUUAUAAAUUUGAAACAUAAUUAUACUAAUUUUUUGAACUCCAAAUGGUAACACAUUUGAGCAUAAAUUGAAUUCACACAGAAAAGCAAUGAAAACACAGAGUAACCAAUGGCUUUUGCUGAUGCUUUAUUCCUGGAGAUUUUCUGAUUAUAACUAGAGAACAAUCUGCAAUUAUUACAUAACCGAAAAAUUCAUCUAAAAAGAGUUAAGUUUUCAGUGCUUCAAUUGGGCUCUUCCCCCUCUGGUAGUAUUGAAAGUAAUUACCAACAUAAUUUUUCACCUUCUUGUAUUGUCUUGGCCUUGUCUUACUGACUAGACCAUCUACUGGUUCAAUUUCAUUAUCAGGAUCUGGAGAACAGAACACAGCCAGAGAAAACCUCUCCCUUUCUGGGUUUAUUACCACCCUGUGUAUUGGGCUCUUGAACAAUCCAUUGCUCAAUAUCUCUGCUUGUUCACCAAUGUUAAUGAGAAGAGCUUCAGGAAUAAUAGGAACUCUAAACCAUUGAUCAUCUUUCAGGAAUUGAAGACCUUCCACUUCUUUGUCUUGAAGAACAAUGGUGAUUACUGAUCCAUCAGAAUGUGAUUUCAGGCCAAGAACUAGAUGAUGCCUUGAACAUGGAGGAAAGAAGUUGAAUCUUGCCUGCAUUAUUGCCCUAGCUCCAUAUUUGUCUAAAAAGCAGUUGUUUUCCAAGUUCAGUGACCUAGCCAUGGCCUUGAGGACGACCUCAGUUAUCAGCCGUAACUUAGAGGUAUAUUCAAACAAAGUCUCUCUAAAAUUAGCAGGACUUUCUGGCCAAUAUCUGAGCUGUCUCUGGUCUUCUGGGCUUGCUAGAAGAUAUAGUCGGUCAUUCCAAUCAAGCA
rnacentral:misc_RNA from 1 species